CCCGAGAGCUCGCGAGAACCGGUGGGGCGGGCGCUGGUCUCUCCUUGCUAUUGGUCCGCCAUGUGUCCAUAAAAGGGAGGGGGCAGGACCGGGCGUGCAGGUGGCGGCCUGAUUGGCUGGGUUUGCCAUGGCGGAAGGCGGCGGUGAGCGCGGAUUGGCCCGCUGAGCUGUCACUCACGCUGUAGCGGCGCUCGCUGCCGCUGCUCGGUUCCCGCCGCUGUCCCGCCGCCGCGCCUCACCCGGGGGUCCUGAGGAGCGGCUGUGCCCUGCGAGCCGCCGGCUGCGCCUCUGACCCGCUCCCUUCGGAGGGAAAAGUCAGCAGCAGUGGGGCACUGGGGUUGUUUUAAUGUAACCCUCCGUCCUGGUCACAUGGCCACCCAGCCUCACCCUGCCAGUGUCCCAGAGAGUCAUUCCUGCCUGCGGGUCCUUGCGGAGCUUUCCACAGUAUGAGGUGUAUUGUGCUACCUGACCACAUAAAGAUUUUCAUAUGUGGCCCAUGGGAAGCUCUUCCUGAACAUCUCUGUAGUUACAUUGAGAGACUGAUUGUGGUGCAAGUAGAGACAUCCAGCAACUGUAUCCUCUUUGUGAGCUGCUGCCAGCCUCUCGAGCAGGGCAUAUGUUCUUCUGUGCAUUAAAGGCACCCUUGGCUGCAGAGUUGUCUUGGUUUCCUGGUAAUUCUCUUUUGGUUCAUGGUGAAUUGCACACAUACAUUUCAAUACAUUUGCACUUAAGAUUCCAAUUCCGUCUCUCACAAUUUCAUAUAAUUUUCUUGUGCAUUGUUUGUGUCAAAGCUACAGUUAUGUUCAAUCUGAGAAGAGCAAUAAUUGAUACAUUGCUUUCAACAGUGUGUGAUGGAGGAGCAACCCAAAGCACUCAGUGUGGUGACCAUAGAACUACACAUCAUUUUGGCAAAUGCAACCUUGCAGUGCUACAAAGGGAUUUGUUUUGCUGAUCUAACACAAAAUUUGUGACAAAUGCAGAUGUUAUAUAUACAUUCCAAAGUUAAUUCCUUGCAAUACAUUGUCUUUUCUGCAUUUUGUUGUUUACAGAAGAUUUUAUUCAAAGCCCUAAAUCAAGGCAGUGGAAGAUUCCCACCAUGUGCAGAGUAAUUCAGGUCAGGCCUACAUCGCAAGAGCACUAAACAGAUAUUGAGACAAAGCUCUCCAGCUCGUGCUCUUACAACAGCAAUGAAGCAAAAUUGCACUGCAGAAUGUUUGAGUGCUGGUAUUGCUCAGAAAAAUUCAGCAAAAAAACUUACUUUGCAGAAUUCUGGGUUACAUGUUAUAUACCCUGAGCAAUCACUUCCCAAAAUUAUGAAUGAAAGAGAGAAAGCAAACUGAAAUGUCACUUUGUCAUUAUUUACCCGAAAGAGCACAUUCCUUUCUCAUGUAAAAAGUACAUUCAGCUCAACUCUCUUUCAAGAGCAUAGCCCUUUUAUAUAACAGUAAGUUUCUGGCUGUUGUCUGCCUGUGUAUAUAAGCAAUGGAAGCUGCAUAUUGUGAAAAUACUUUGCAUAGCAAGAGUUUAAUUUUCAAACCAGUGUGUGGGGAUUUAUUUGUAACUCUGUUGAUGCAUUUUGGGGAGGAUAUGUUAUCUCACGGCUUGUCAUGUCCUGCUAGCAAAACACCAAUACCUUAAAUCAUUUUGUACAAGUUAAACCUCUUGUGUAAA